rnacentral:lncRNA from 1 species
UUUUGCAGAGAUGGAAAAUCGGAGGCCAUCGCCACCUAAGGAGAUCUCAAAUUUUCUUGUUCUUUAAUUCAUUCAUUUACGAUUGGAUUUCGUUUUUAGUGAUAUAGUUUGCAUCAUUGGCAAUCUGACAAUAUUCUCAAGUGCUUGUUCUUCUAUAAUUGAUUUUCAAAAAUUAAUUUUCAAUCUUGAUUUUUACAUCUUCUAUAAGCUACAAGAUUCAAAUGCUUUAACGGUCACAUCGUUAUACAAUCAGUGGCCAAAGUUUUUCCAUUGAUUUUGAGAAAUAGCCAUAACAAUAUGGGUAGUAUGAAUUGGAAAAGUAUUGGCUUUAGAAAUAAAAAAUUUAAGGCUUCGUGCCCGGGGCACUAGUUAAGGAGCUAAAAAAAAAAAAAAGUUAUGCAUUGAAACAAUCAAAAUUUAGACUUUUCAUGUGUUGAUUACACAAUAUUUAAGAAAAACCUUCUAAAUUUAAAUUCUUAACCAAUGCCCCUGAGACACUAUUUAGCAUUUGCCUUAGUUUAUUGGUCUCUUAAAGACAUUUUAGGUUUCAUCCUUUAAAGAAAAAAAAGUUCGGAUUGGUCCCCUUAAAGACACGUCAGUUUCUCACAUUGGUCAUUUCCGUCAAUUUUUUACAAAAAAACGUUAGGUUGACUCAAUUGUGGAUGUCAUUAAGUGUAAGUGAUCCACCAAAAACCUUAUUAAUUUUUAAAAUUUCAACCAUUGAAAUUAUUUGUUAUAUUUGGAGUUAAAAUUUAACGGAAAGGACCAAUAUGACAAAUAUUUAUGUCUUUAAGGGACCAAUCCAAUUUUUUUUUCUUUAUGGGACCAAUCCGGACCUUUUUUCUCUUUAAGGGACAAGUUUCAUCACCUGAAAUUGAAAACCACCACCUGAAAUUGAAAACAAGGGGUUGAGCUAGCAGAGUAGAGAAGUGCUGAAGCUUGAAAACCAUUCUUUCUUUUUUUAAAACAAGGGGUCAUACGUUACACACUUUUGGCCUAUCAUUUUUUGAGCUUAUGCAAAUAGCUUAUGCAAUAUAAAUUAAGUUUUAUGUUAUUUUAUAAGUUCACACUAGUGAAAAUUGUAAUUUUAUAAGAUAUUUUAUCAUAAACUACAUUGACAAACUUAUAAUAAUAUAUAAAAAUUGCAUAAGUUGCUUGUAUAAGCUCUAAAUAAGAGGAAAAAAAGUCAAGUUAAACGAUACCUAAAACUGGGUUGUGAAAUUUUCGUGCUAGAGAAUAAGAGAGAGGGGGAGUGAAAUUUUCAUUUCUCAUACUAAUCUAGCCGCCGCAGUACACAAUAAAACUGACGCCACUUUACCACUAGAACCGCNNNNNNNNNNNNNNNNNNNNNNNNNNNNNNNNNNNNNNNNNNNNNNNNNNNNNNNGAUUUACACACACCAACGGCGGUUGAAUGAAAUAAAUGUCGGUAUUGACAUGAGCGGCGGCGUUUCACUUGCUAGUGCCUCAAAUGGCCUGUCCAUAUCUUCAAUUUUUCUUGUAGUGUAUUAGUAAUUUUAUGGAUUAAACUGAUCAAUAAAAAUCAAAUUCGAUGACUAAAUUGAUUAUUUUUGAAUAUGUAAGUGGAUUAACGGAGCAACUUAUAUUAUCUUUUUUU